ACCUUCGUGGUGUAGCGGUCAGCACGCUCGACGCGUAACCGAGAGGUCCGUGGUUCGAUUCCCGGCGAAGGUA
rnacentral:tRNA from 1 species